UACGGGGGGGGCAAGCGUUGUUCGGAAUUACUGGGCGUAAAGGGCGCGUAGGCGGCUUAUCAAGUCAGACGUGAAAUCCCUCGGCUUAACCGGGGAACUGCGUCUGAUACUGGAUGGCUUGAGUUCGGGAGAGGGAUGCGGAAUUCCAGGUGUAGCGGUGAAAUGCGUAGAUAUCUGGAGGAACACCGGUGGCGAAGGCGGCAUCCUGGACCGACACUGACACUGAGGAGCGAAAGCCAGGGGAGCAAACGGG
rnacentral:rRNA from 1 species